UACAGAGGUCUCAAGCGUUGUUCGGAUUCAUUGGGCGUAAAGGGUGUGUAGGUGGCGCGCUAAGUCGGGUGUGAAAACUCUGGGCUCAACUCAGAGCCUGCAGGCGAAACUGCCGUGCUGGAGUGUGGGAGAGGUGCGUGGAAUUCCCGGUGUAGCGGUGAAAUUCGUAGAUAUCGGGAGGAACACCGGUGGCGAAGGCGGCGACCUGGGUGGAUACUGACGCUGAGGUGCGAAAGCGUGGGGAGCAAACAGG
rnacentral:rRNA from 1 species